UGUUCAGGAAUCCACCGCAGUCUUGGCACCC
rnacentral:piRNA from 1 species